GUUAUAGACCUUGUUAGCCCAAUGCAAUUUGUCAAGUAGUGCCUCUACUUGGCAAGUGUGGAGACGUGGAGACAUAGAAUAAUUUAAAAAGUUUUCAUUUUCUGUCUUUUUUUUUCGGUCUUGCUAGUCACACUACCUUUAUUAUAAAUAUCAUUAGUUUAUGUACGUGAUGAAGGCAAUAUAAAAAUGGUUAAAAUAACUUCACAAGUUGCUCUGGUACUAUUUUUGGUUCUUCUUUUUCUUCUUCUAAUCAGGGGACAAGGUGAAUCGUUCCAAUCCCCGGUUACGUCACGUAUUGGCGCAUUACCUUCAAAUUCACGUAGAGGUCAAGGUCCGUAGCAAAAUCUUCUCAAUAAACGAAGGAGAAGAGAUGAGUAGUAGCUUAAAGUUGCAUCUUCAAAUAAUGUCUACUAGUUUUAAAACAAAUUAUGGAUGGAACAGUACGAGUUUGUUCAUUGUUGUAGCCUUCAAUGUCAAAUACCUUCUAAGGGUUAUGUGAUCAUAAUAUAUAAAGUCUUGUAUCAUAAUGUCAAAUACACAAUGUCUUGUACAUCUGGUGAAUAAAUUCUGUAUCAUCCGUUCUGGACUUGAAUAAAAUAUUUCCUAUUGAGACAAUCAUCCCAAUUCUCAACAAUGGUGAAUUUCAAUAUCUACCUACGCGAAAGAGAUGAAGUUCUGAUUUUAUACUGACUGAAACUACAUAACUUACUACAAGAAAAAGAGUCAUUACUCCCUAAUGCAUAUGGUUCCUUAACAACCCAUUUGCUUGUGACUCCCACGUAGG